rnacentral:misc_RNA from 1 species
AAGAUGACGUUGCCCUUCGGGUAUACCUCCCACCCUUUGUUUAUUAUACCUUUGUUGCUUUGGCGGGCCCGUCCUCGGACCACCGGCUUCUGCUGGUCAGUGCCCGCCAGAGGACCUAAAACUCUGUUUGUUAAUAUUGUCUGAGUACUAUAUAAUAGUUA